rnacentral:rRNA from 1 species
UACGGAGGGAGCUAGCGUUGUUCGGAAUUACUGGGCGUAAAGCGCGCGUAGGCGGCUUUGUAAGUUAGAGGUGAAAGCCCGGAGCUCAACUCCGGAACUGCCUUUAAAACUGCAUCGCUUGAAUCCGGGAGAGGUGAGUGGAAUUCCGAGUGUAGAGGUGAAAUUCGUAGAUAUUCGGAAGAACACCAGUGGCGAAGGCGGCUCACUGGCCCGAUACUGACGCUGAGGCACGAAAGCGUGGGGAGCAAACAGG